rnacentral:rRNA from 1 species
AUGGCUCAGGAUGAACGCUAGCUACAGGCUUAACACAUGCAAGUCGAGGGGCAGCAUGAUCUAGCUUGCUAAGAUGAUGGCGACCGGCGCACGGGUGAGUAACGCGUAUCCAACCUUCCCUAUAGUAGAGUAUAGCCCGGCGAAAGUCGGAUUAAUGCUCUAUGUUCUUCUUUGAUGGCAUCUGAUGAGAAGCAAAGAUUUAUCGCUAUAGGAUGGGGAUGCGUCUGAUUAGGUUGUAGGCGGGGUAACGGCCCACCUAGCCGACGAUCAGUAGGGGUUCUGAGAGGAAGGUCCCCCACAUUGGUACUGAGACACGGACCAAACUCCUACGGGAGGCAGCAGUGAGGAAUAUUGGCCAAUGGACGCGAGUCUGAACCAGCCAAAGUAGCGUGCAGGACGACUGCCCUAUGGGUUGUAAACUGCUUUUAUAGGGGAAUAAAGUGAGGAACGUGUUCCUUUUUGUAUGUACCCUAUGAAUAAGGACCGGCUAAUUCCGUGCCAGCCGCCGC